GGCCGGGUAGCCAAGUGGUAAGGCAGCGGACUGCAAAUCCGCUAUUCACGGGUUCGAUUCCCGUCCCGGCCUCCA
rnacentral:tRNA from 1 species